rnacentral:rRNA from 1 species
UACGGGGGGGGCAAGCGUUGUUCGGAAUUACUGGGCGUAAAGGGCUCGUAGGCGGCCAACUAAGUCAAACGUGAAAUCCCUCGGCUUAACCGGGGAACUGCGUCUGAUACUGGAUGGCUUGAGUUUGGGAGAGGGAUGCGGAAUUCCAGGUGUAGCGGAUGAAAUGCGUAGAUAUCUGGAGGAACACCGGUGGCGAAGGCGGC